UACGGGGGGAGCAAGCGUUGUUCGGAUUUACUGGGCGUAAAGGGCGUGUAGGCGGCCACCGCAAGUCGGUUGUGAAAUCUCCGGGCUUAACCCGGAAAGGUCAACCGAUACUGCGGGGCUAGAGUGCAGAAGGGGCAACUGGAAUUCCCGGUGUAGAGGUGAAAUUCGUAGAUAUCGGGAGGAAUACCAGUGGCGAAGGCGCUGACCUGGACGAAGAUUGACGCUGAGGUGCGAAAGCGCGGGGAGCAAACAGG
rnacentral:rRNA from 1 species